rnacentral:tRNA from 9 species
AGUCCUGUAGCUCAAUGGUGGAGCGUUUGCCUUACAAGCAAGGGGUUGCGGGUUCAAAUCCUGCCAGGACUACCA